rnacentral:piRNA from 1 species
UAGCCAUAAGAAACUGUCCUCCACAUAGGA